CUCUCACAUAGUCCACCACCGCGUGCUCUACGGCUGCCGCCGCUACCUCGCGUCACCGCCGACGCCUCAAUCCCGCCCCACGCCUCCCCCUGCCCCCGUCGCCCCCAGCACCACGCGGCACCCAAAACACCCCAGCCUCUAACGCGUGUCGCUGCCAUCGCCGUUACCGCCCUUCCUCGUCGCGACAUCGCGUUCCUGCCAUCUCCACCCGGUCUGCAAUUCUUGGCCAUUAGGUUUUGAGUAACACUGGACAGAAAUGGAGAAUGUGCAGUAUGCCGAAGAACUCGUGAGGGAGUUUCUUGUCUUCAGGGGUUUCACGAACACGCUGCAAGCUUACGAGGCAGAAUUGUCCACCGAGAUCGGCAGGAACUUUGAAGUAGACAAGAUCCUAGAUUUAGUGUUCUCAGUGUACAUACCAAAAUACCAACUGGAUAGACUGCUAAGCAUCUUCAGCUUUUUAAAACAGUGUUUCACUUCACCUGCGGACACGGUACUCUACACGGCGCUUCUUAAACUGGAGCAGUCAGUAUUACGCUAUUAUGUUGUCAAUGCCUUGAAAUCUGGAAGGCAAGAAAAAGUUGUUGAAUUCUUUAGCGCAAGCGGCAGUUAUCUGAUGCAAAAGCGUGAAGAUUGGAUAGCAUGGUUUGCUAUACCAUAUAUUAAGAACCCAAGCUUGGAUCCACAGUUCCGUAUGUAUUUUUCCAAAGAAUGGUCAGACACUUUGGUUCUUUCAUUUCGGAACUUCUUAAGUGGGAUAUUCAAUGGUACUCGAAUCCCAGCUCUUUUGAAGAUUAGCACUGAAAAAAACAUGAUCAAGUGCCUCAAGAGUGACAUAAAGCAACUGAAUAACAAAUUGUCAGAACUGCAAGCAUUGUUAGAGGUGAAGGAAGUUGAACUAUCUCUGCUGAGAAGGAGUGGUAAUAGUAUUGAUUCUGGACACAAGAAUUUACUCAAGAUUACUACAGCUGGUUCUUCCGCUGAUGGACAAGCUUCCUCAGGAGUCUACGAAGAAUCCUCAACUUCAAGUAUACAGGGUGUUGACUCACAUACUUUGAGUUCAGUAAAAUCAAGAGAUGAGAAAUUGUGCGAUUCUUCUUGGAUGAGCAAUGCAGAAAAUGAGCAGAUUUUGGUGACAGAGGAAGAUUUUCCUGAAGUGAAGGUGGAUUUUCAGGCCAUAACAGUUCCAUAAGUAGCUGUCGGUUUUCUGCUUCUGGAUCAAAUAUUGCCAGUUCUUCGACUGAUGGCACAGUGAGAAUUUGGACAUACGACUCAUCAACACCAUCAUCAAAAAAUGCAACUAUAUACUGUGGAGCUGAAGUCAGAGCACUUUCUUGGGAAUGCAGAUCUGACCGCUUGGCACAGCUAAUGGAGGCAUUAAAGCUUGGAAUGCUGAUGCAAAGAGAGUUGUUUGUGACCUCAGUACAUCCAAGGACUUCCCAAGUGUGCUUGAUUUGAAGUGUAGCCCUGUAGAUCCCGUGUUCGUCUCCGCAGCUGCAUCGAGACGGCAUGGAUCAACUAUAUUUGACAGAACAGGAUUUGCCUCCUUGACAGUAUGGCAUAUGAAAACAUGGAAGCCUCUGACAGUCCUCCCUCUUGGCGAGGAUCCACCUGCUAUUACUUCACUUUGCUUCAAUCACAAUGGGAAGAUCUUGGCAGCCUCUGCAACAGAUGGCAUGAUUCACAUGUUUGACAUGUCUGCUGGUCUACAAAUCACCGGAUGGCCUGCUCAUGAUUCCCCUGUCAGCUCAGUUCUUUUUGGGCCAGCUGAAACAAGCAUCUUCAGUUUAGGCUCAGAUGGAAAGAUAUUUGAGUGGAGCUUGCACAAUCAAGGUCAGAUUAUUUGGUCAAGAGAUUGCAGUAGGUUUUGUAACCCUGAGAGCUUUAACAAACACAUGCAUGAGGUAGCGUUGGAUUCUAAUGGCAAGAGACUUCUUGCUUCUUCGGGUUUGGUUCGGGCUCCAAUAUACCAGGUGCAAGGCCAUGAGAGAGGGUUGAGGACACUUCCUCAUACUGCACCUAUAACAAGUGUGGACUGGCACCCCACGCGGCCAAUCUAUGUUACUGGUUCUGAAGACCACUCUGUCCGCGUCACAUCCAUUCUAUGAUAUUCUAUGUUGAGCAGUUUGCCCUUGAGAUUUUGUUGAUUGUCCAGUUCCAUGGAGUGCUGCUCCGUGGAGUGACCUCCAAGAGAUGAACCAGUUCCAUGGAUCCUCAUGAUAUUCCUGAUUAUCUCAUCCAGAUAGAUCCUUUUCCGUUGGAAAACUGGGUCAUGUUUGUGUUUGUAGACUUGGCAAGCCGGUGAAACUAUGUUGUAAAAACGGGUGAAAACAUCUGUGAUCUCUUUACAUGGUAGGAGCCUAGGAUCUUUACAGCAGGUUUCUCCCAUUCUCAUCAAAAGAAUUAGGGAUCAAUCCAUGCCUGGCACCAGUUUUUUUAUGAUGUAUUGCUGGUUUCUGAAGGAAAAAUGAUGUGUUGCUGUUUGAUUAGCAAAUAUUGUCCUAUCAGUUGAUGGUUUGGGGCCAAUUAGGGUUCUAUUUCAAGCAUCUCAGAGCGCUUUUACGUAAUUCUUGUGAAAUCCUAGUAAUAAUAACUAGUCGAUU
rnacentral:rRNA from 1 species